UACGUAGGGUGCAAGCGUUGUCCGGAAUCAUUGGGCGUAAAGAGCUCGUAGGCGGUUUGUCGCGUCUGCUGUGAAAUCUGGGGGCUCAACCCCCAGCCUGCAGUGGGUACGGGCAGACUAGAGUGCGGUAGGGGAGAUUGGAAUUCCUGGUGUAGCGGUGGAAUGCGCAGAUAUCAGGAGGAACACCAAUGGCGAAGGCAGAUCUCUGGGCCGUAACUGACGCUGAGGAGCGAAAGCUAGGGGAGCAAACAGG
rnacentral:rRNA from 1 species